rnacentral:tRNA from 1 species
AGUGUUGCGCCGGGGAUGAACGGAUAACUCUGAUGACGUUAAAUACGGGGACACUCCCCCAACACUU